rnacentral:rRNA from 1 species
GACGGACGGUGCAAGCGUUGCUCGGAAUCACUGGGCGUAAAGGGUGCGUAGGCGGCCGUGCAAGUCUGGCGUGAAAGCCCCGGGCUCAGCCCGGGAAGUGCGCUCGAAACUGCGCGGCUCGAGUGCCGGAGGGGAGAGUGGAAUUCCUGGUGUAGCGGUGAAAUGCGUAGAUAUCGGAAGGAACAUCAGUGGCGAAAGCGACUUCCUGGACCAGUACCGACGUUCAGGCACGAAAGCGUGGGGAGCAAACAGG